AUUGAACGCUGGCGGCAGGCCUAACACAUGCAAGUCGAGCGAGCGGCGGACAGGUGAGUAUUGUCUGGGAAACUGCCUGAUGUAGGGGGAUAACUACUGGAAAAGGUGGCUAAUACCGCAUACCCUCUGAUGUGCCCAGAUGGGAUUAGCUAGUAGGUGGGGUAGAGGCUCACCUAGGCGACGAUCCCUAGCUGGUCUGCGAGGAUGACCAGCAACACUGGAACUGGGAAACGGUCCAAACUCCUACGGGAGGCAGCAGUGGGGAAUAUUGCACAAUGGGGGCAAGCCGGAUGCAGCCAUGCGGCGUGUGUGAAGAAGGCCUUCGGUUGGUAAAGCACUUUCAGCGGGGAGGCGUUACCGGAAGAAGAAGCACCGGCUAACUCCGUGCCAGCAGCCGCGGUAAUAC
rnacentral:rRNA from 1 species